rnacentral:rRNA from 1 species
GACGAACGCUGGCGGCGUGCUUAACACAUGCAAGUCGAGCGGUAAGGCCCUUUCGGGGGUACACGAGCGGCGAACGGGUGAGUAACACGUGGGUGACCUGCCCUCAGCUCUGGGAUAAGCCUGGGAAACCGGGUCUAAUACCGGAUAUGACUCCAUGACGCAUGUUGUGGGGUGAAAGCCUUGUGCGGCUGAGGAUGGGCCCGCGGCCUAUCAGCUUGUUGGUGGGUGAUGGCCUACCAAGGCGACGACGGUAGCCGGCCUGAGAGGGCGACCGGCCACACUGGGACUGAGACACGGCCCAGACUCCUACGGGAGGCAGCAGUGGGGAAUCUUGCGCAAUGGGCGAAAGCCUGACGCAGCGACGCCGCGUGAGGGAUGACGGCCU